rnacentral:rRNA from 1 species
GACGAACGCUGGCGGCGUGCCUAAUACAUGCAAGUAGAACGCACAGUUUAUACCGUAGCUUGCUACACCAUAGACUGUGAGUUGCGAACGGGUGAGGAACGCGUAGGUAACCUGCCUGGUAGCGGGGGAUAACUAUGGGUAACGACAGCUAAUACCGCAUAAUAUUAAUUAUUGCAUGAUAAUUAAUUGAAAGGUGCAAUGGCACCACUACCAGAUGGACCUUCGUUGUAUUAGCUAGUAGGUGAGGUUACGGCUCACCUAGGCGAGGAUACAGAGCCGAACUGCGUUGGUGGUUCGCCGCCCUGGGACUGUGACCGGGCCCAGACUCCCUCGGGAAGCAGCAGUAGGGCAUCGUCGGCCAUGGACGGAAGUCUGACCGAGCAACGCCGCGGGAGUGAAGAAGGUUUUCGGGUCGUGAAGCUCUGUUGUAAGGGAAGAACGGGUGUGAGAGUGGAAAGUUCACACUGUGACGGUAUCUUACCAGAAAGCGACGGCUAACUACGUG